CGACCCUCAGGCCCUCGUCAGGGGACCUGGCGUUGGGGGACGGCACCGCUGGGAAGGAGGGGGGGGAGUCUCGUCUCCCCCCGCCCCUCGCCCGCCGCCGCCCCCGAAAUGCAGUGGCGGCCUCGCCGCAGCGACCUCCGCGUAGUAGCACAGAACCUCGCGGCCUGGGAGCUGGGCGCGGCCACGCCGUAAAACACCCCCUACGCGAAAACCCUUCGCAACAAGAG
rnacentral:misc_RNA from 1 species